rnacentral:rRNA from 1 species
GACGGAGGGGGCAAGCGUUGUCCGGACUCACUGGGCGUAAAGGGUGCGCAGGCGGUCCUGUGCGUCGGCGCUGAAAGCGCCCGGCUUAACCGGGCGAGGCGCGGCGAUACGACAGGACUGGAGGCUCGGAGAGGGUGGUGGAACUCCUGGUGUAGUGGUGAAAUGCGUAGAGAUCAGGAAGAACACCCGUGGCGCAAGCGACCACCUGGCCGAGACCUGA